GUUAAUCUUGUUAAAAGGACGUUAACGCCACAACCACAUUAACCACAAAUCUCAGUGAGUUAAUACGGAUUGCCCUGUGCAUGGGGCUGGACGCUAAUGCGUUAACGAGCUAACUGUGCUAAUGCUUUAACGAGCUUAAUGAGCCAAACGAGCUAACGCAUUAACGAGCUAAUGCAUGAACGAGCUAAUGCAUGGGGCUGCACGUUGACACCGUGCAGCCCCAUGCACAGGGCGAUCCGCGCUAACAGAGAUUUGCCGCGCUAAUGCGGUUAUGGCAUAAAUGUCAUUUUAACUAGUUUAACACUGAGCGCACUAAAAAAUAUAUAUUGACAAAUACAAAUAGCAACAGUGACCAAUUUCAAAACAUUAUAUGUGCACUCACCUUCUGUAAUUAUGCAAAAAAAAAAAGUAAAUAGAUGACUGAAUUAGCUAAAUUAGCAAAUUUCUGCUGUAAGCCUGGUGUCUAAUAAAUAAGUAGCCAAAUAAACCUGACCCCAUAAUACACUUUAAAUGAAAGGCCCAUGUUUGCAUAAAGAAAAACAAAGAAAAGAAAAUGGGAAAUGGUGAAAGGGUGAUUGUUCAGACAUUAAAAAAUACAGGCUUUUAAAAUGAGUGAAUCAAUUAAAAAAAAUACAAACAAAAAAUAAAAGGUAAUGCAUAAAGAGAGAAAUAAAGACAGAAAAUCUAUUCAUAUUGCAUCUUUUAAAAUUUUUAGUACCCACAUGAAGCUUGUUUUAUGCCUUUUUUCUUACUCUGUGUGUUUAUGGAUUGAGGAUUUUGGCAGGUUAGGUUCUCCGUACUUCUCAACCCCAGACUUUAGGCAGGACAAUGGGCUCAUUUCACAACAUUGCUUCAGCGCUUACACACAGUGUAGACAUGCUGUAUUGCCUGCUGAGGAGGAUUUUGAAAAGACAAUACAGGAAAGUAGACAGCCCAAUCCAUUACAAGGCCUCUAGAAUUACAUUUUCCUGAGAUACAGUGGAGCUUUGGGAGAUUCAAUACACCGUGUUCCUGGGGAUGGAAACAGUUUGGCCCAGGUUGGCUAAUUCUCAGAGACUAUGUACUUACUCACAGCAAAAACAGUUCAAUACACAAAAGGAGGAUUUUGUGAUAAACAGAGGGAAUUUUCGUGUCUUAAAUUUAUCGGACAGGUGCU
ensembl:lncRNA